rnacentral:rRNA from 1 species
UGCGCCACGCCCCACGACCCGACCUUAUCCUCCACCCCACCCCCACCACGACUCUCUCUCCCUCGUACCUCUCUCUCCCCUCGAUCCAGAGUACACCGGCGCCCACCCCACCUCGCCUGUCGGCCCCGCGGCCUCGCUGGCCGCCACCUCGACCGCCGGCCACGGCCUCGCCCGCCGUCCCCGGCCCCCGUCGCGCCGGCUACCAAGCCACCCGUCGCCACGGCUGACCUCAGCGACCCUACCCCGUCGCCCCCGUCGGCCGCCGGUGCCGGCCCCUUCCCUCGUCGCCCCCGUCGGCCGCUGGCCCCGUCCCCGUUGCCCCCGCAGGCCGCCGGCACCUUCCCUCUCCGCCUCUAGCGACGCAAAGCCCGCCCCGUCCCGCUUUGGCCCCGCUGACUCCAGCCCCUACCAUGUCGCCCCCGCCGGCCCCCAGUCCCAUCCCUCUAUGCUGUAGUGCCGCACCACCUCGCGGAUGAGGGUGACAAGCUCCGGCGCGGCGGCAGACGCAUUGAGCCCCAUCCCUCUUGUUUUUUUGUGAGAUAUCCCUCUUGUAUUAUAUGUAAUUCAUUUGUGUCUACACUGUGUAAUCCGUUCGUGGGUAAUCUGUUUGUCCCAUGAAAUGAAACAAUUUUGUAUUUUGAAAUUCAUUCAUGGAGUCUUGGAACAGAAAGUGUUGAUGCAUACUGUGAUUUUUGUCGUGGUCCGUUUGUUUCUUUUUUUAAUAUAUAAAAACUUCUUUGUCGUCUCUGAUUUUUGAGGCAAGCGGCAAAAGGAAGAUUCUAGCUGACGGCAAAGAUGCUUUUCUUUGUCGUCUGUGAUAUAGGAGGAUGACAGCGAAG